UAUAUGUAUGAGAUAGUAUCUUUCCAUAGUGAUUGCAAGGGUAAUUUGAAAGAGGAGUAUUUGGCAAGACUUGCAGCCUACAACGAUGUAGAAUUGGAUGAGAUUCGAGAACAAUGGGCUAAGUUUUUUAGGCUUAAUUUUUUGUUGAAAGACUAGUUAUCUUAUUAAUCGAUGUUAUGAUUUAUCGCAUUUAGCUUAAUAAAAUGAUAUAACACAUUUUUAUAUAUCUACUAUAAUUUUAUUUAGCCUAUUGGUUAUUGUUAUUACAUUUCUAAAUUAUAAAUCAAUGCUUUUUUAAUUCAAGUUUAAUUGUUUUUUUGGAAAUUACAGUAUAAUUAAUUUUUUUGUAUUGUAUUGGUUAUGGAUGAAUAAUUCGAGUUGCGCGGAACUAUUUAGAGUGUUUGUAUUGUAUGGAAGUAUUCGUAGUA